rnacentral:misc_RNA from 1 species
CUUGGCCCUUUUGAUGUAGAGUGUGCGGAAGAGUGCGGACGGCGUCAAGGCACAUGUUCCUUGGCACUACUGGUAACUCUCUUACAUCAUCCUCGCACCUGCUAGCAGCCACAUGGGAAAAUGCACUAAAGCAUUUCCGGCGUGCCCUCCUGGAGUGCGGUUCUCCAUUAGACAUUGAGCACUCACAAAGAAUUGGACUGCUUUUUUCCCAGCACGUAGGGAACACAAAUGAACUCAAACGAUGGGCAUCCAUUUUUGAUGCUGAAGCUGUGCCAUCAACAGCGCUUAUUCUCAAGGCACUCGUGAAUCACGGCCAGUGGCAGACGGCCGUUAAACUCCUCGAGCUCAACAAAGAAAGCGGAGUUGCAUGCGAAUUGAGUGAAGUUUUGGGUCAAUGCCUUGUAGCCAGAGGGCUUUGGCAGCAGACACUGAAACUAGCAGACUUUCUUCAGUGUCGACAUGACGUUGCACCGAGCGAAAAAGGCCUUGCUCUAAGUAAUACCUCGUUGCUAAGUACAAGGGAGCGCAACGAUACCCACCAAAUGGCAUCAAAUCCAGCUUUUCUACCGGAAGAGGAAAGGACAACGUACUGUGGAUUUAUUUCUGCUGUCGCUCGUGCAUAUCCUUUAAAGCGGGACUGGAAAGAAGCGGUGAGAAUCCUACACGAUCUAGAGCAGCUCGUCGAUGGCGAGACGAAACGGAAGCUCUACGCAUACAGAAUUGCUCGACUUGUACACGACGGACAAGCGUACAAGAACGUAAUCGAAAAGAGCCGGUGCGAACUGGGAUUUCGCACAUCACCGUCACUGGUCCGCUCACUUCUUCACUGCGCCAUAGCAACAAGCGACUGCAGUCUUACCAUGAACUGUCUGAAGCUGCUGUGCUCGUUCGGCCCCACUGCAGUAUCUGUAAGGCUUUUCGAAACAGCUUGCCGCCUGCUUGUGUCGUCUGAUGAAACUUUGACAAAGGACGAUCUUGUUCGGUUUGAAUCUGUUGUCUGUGAGAACGCCGCUUUGGUGAAGGACAGGAAAUUGCAGAAGUUGAUAUCUGCCUUCUGCGCUGACUACGAUUUGAAAAUACCCAUUUUCCUGUCAUCUAUUUCGAUGUUGGCUUCAUCGUCGAAAACUGUGAUGGCACCAUCACUCGUGAACAGCAUAACCAAUCUCGACCGACUCGCGAGCAAACUCAUUUCUCAGAGCCGAUGGGUGGAGGCGUUGCAUGUGGCUACCCUAAUCAGAAAUGGCGCUGCAAAGAGCGAUAAUGAGCGCAUCAUCAUCGGCAUGCUGCGUGGAAGUUGCUCAUCGUGGGUGAAAACGUUGCAGUUUUUUACAUCAUAAGCAAGCACCCCGCAACGUGUUGGAAACCACCCUUAUACACAGCGAGCAACUGAAUGCUUUAGCGGAGCACAAUUCACCAGCUGCCGUAUUUCUUUUAAAUACCAAGAACUGUACUAG